AUCUAGCCGUGGUUGGAGCGGCAUCCUUUUAUUAAUUGUUUUUUUCAAUUAAUAAAAGAUUUAGCGGAAGACACGACUAAAC
rnacentral:sRNA from 1 species